CACGCCGUAAACGAUGGGUACUAGGUGUUGGGGGUAUCGACUCCCUCAGUGCCGCAGUUAACACAUUAAGUACCCCGCCUGGGGAGUACGUUCGCAAGAAUGAAACUCAAAGGAAUUGACGGGGGCCCGCACAAGCGGUGGAGCAUGUGGUUUAAUUCGACGCAACGCGAAGAACCUUACCAAGGCUUGACAUCCCUCUGGCUGGAUUUUAAUCGAUCCUUUUCUUCGGAACAGAGGAGACAGGUGG
rnacentral:rRNA from 1 species